rnacentral:lncRNA from 1 species
AUGCUCAGUAAAAUUUGCAUUUCAGAUGAACAACAUGAUUUUUUAGUACAAAUAUGCCCCCAACAUCAUCCGUACCAUUUAUCUGAAAUUGCAGAAGUACCUGGACCUUCGGAUCGUAUCUGGCAAUUCCAGCUGCAGGCCACUGCAAGGGGGCAGGGCCCAUCUCCUUCCCCAGGCCCUGGGGGGCAAAAGCAGCCAGAGGUCUUCAGCUCCAGGUUCCGAAGAAGACUGACAGCGGAGCUGUUACGGUUCUGCUCAUGAUAAAGCAAAUCCCGGCAAUGUACCGCAGGCUCUCUUGCAUUUGGAUGUAUCUCAUUUUACAGGAUACACAGGCCAUUCAGAAAAGACUGUUUAAAGGUACCUCUUCACUAUAAUUCUUGGUAUUUUUUAAGAUAAAAGAGACUUUCACGAUUUUUAAAAAAUUUUGUGCCUAAUGGUUCUUAUCACCCCAUUCCAGGAUGGCUAAGCAAAACUUCUUUUCUUUUUGUCUUUGUGCAGAUGCACAGCUAUGGCUGUUGUAGGAGAAGGUGGUAGAAGGGGCUCAUCCUUUGGGAGAUCGGGGCGGGGUGCCCCGUCCUCAGGGCCACAGAG